rnacentral:rRNA from 1 species
GACGAACGCUGGCGGCGUGCUUAACACAUGCAAGUCGAGCGGAGCGGCGAACGGGUGAGUAACGCGUGAGUACCUGCCCCCCUCUCUGGGAUAACAGUUGGAAACGGCUGCUAAUACCGGAUAGUGGGGGAUGACUCGCGUCCGAUCAGCUUGUUGGUGGGGUAGUGGCCUACCAAGGCGACGACGGGUAGCCGGCCUGAGAGGGUGGGCGGUCACAUGGGGCUGAGAUACGGCCCAGACUCCUACGGGAGGGAGCAGUGGGGAAUUUUGCACAAUGGGGGGAACCUUGAUGCAGCGACGCCGCGUGAGGGAUGGAGGCCUUCGGGUUGUGAACCUCUUUCGCUCGGGUGCGUGUAGCGGGUAAAGAAGCGCCGGCUAACUACGUGCCAGCAGCCGCGGUAAUAC